UGUGGCCUACGGGAGGCAGCAGUGAGGAAUAUUGGUCAAUGGCCGAGAGGCUGAACCAGCCAAGUCGCGUGAGGGAUGACGGCCCUACGGGUUGUAAACCUCUUUUGUCGGGGAGCAAAGAGAGUCACGUGUGACUCAUUGACAGUACCUCAGGAGGAAGCUCCGGCUAACUAUGUGCCAGCAGCCGCGGUAAUACAUAGGGAGCAAGGGUUAUCCGGAUUUAUUGGGUGUAAAGGGUACGUAGACGG
rnacentral:rRNA from 1 species